rnacentral:rRNA from 1 species
AUGAGUGCGGAGCAUACCAGAUGGAAGAGAUCGAGAAAGGAAAAACGUAUAUUACAAUUCAUACCGAGGCAGAGCGGCGGGAGAAGUGGUGAGGAAUUUGAUUGUGAAUGCGGCCAGUUCGCACACAUGCGGAUGCUCUACAGCCAUGUCUUGAAGGCUCUGGACUUUAUUCUUAUUAAGGAAAUACCUUGGAAGCACAUAGUGAAAAGAUGGACUAGAGAUGCCAGACACAUCCUACUCCCUCAUCUGACACAAUAUCAGAAGGACAAUGCUCACAAAAAUUCAUUUAGUUAUAGGCAUUUCAAUAUGUCGAUGCAUGACAUGAAGCUUGGCCGUAUGGGGGACACGAGUGUUGAAGCAUAUACACAUCUAAUUUCUAUGAUCAAGAAUUGUGCUGCUGGAAUGACACCAUUUGCUGAAAUAAUAAGAGACAGUCUUGGAUUAGAGGACAUGAUGGCAGAGAAUGGAGAUGUUGUUAACCAGGUUCAGACACAAGUUGGUAUUCAGUUUGCACCAAACAGAGUGGAUAGUGUUGUUGGCAACGACGAAACAACUCGGCUAACGAGUCUGGUAAUAGGCUGUCAGGAUUAUUACCUCUGGCUAAGAGGAAGGACAUGGGAAGGCCUACGACAAGCAGAGAGAAGGCGUUUUAUGAAGGUUUGA